AACUUUGUACAGCGGUGAUAUCGUAACCAAUGGGGUUUAUUCGAGGUGCGAUUAUUGCUAGUUGGAAACUGAUAUUCUUU
rnacentral:snRNA from 1 species